AGUGGGGAAUAUUGCGCAAUGGGGGAAACCCUGACGCAGCAACGCCGCGUGAGUGAUGAAGGCUUUCGAGUCGUAAAACUCUGUCUUCGGGGACGAUAAUGACGGUACCCGAGGAGGAAGCCCCGGCUAACUACGUGCCAGCAGCCGCGGUAAUACGUAGGGGGCAAGCGUUGUCCGGAAUCACUGGGCGUAAAGGGCGCGUAGGCGGUUUGUUAAGUCAGGUGUGAAAGUUUUCAGCUUAACUGGAAAAGUGCACUUGAAACUAACUUACUUGAGUACUGGAGAGGUAAGCGGAAUUCCUAGUGUAGCGGUGAAAUGCGUAGAUAUUAGGAAGAACACCGGUGGCGAAGGCGGCUUACUGGACAGAGACUGACGCUGAGGCGCGAAAGCGUGGGGAGCGAACAGGAUUAGAUACCCUGGUAGUCCACGCCGUAAACGAUGAGUAUUAGGUGUUGCCGAGAGGCAGUGCCGCAGUUAACACAAUAAAUACUCCGCCUGGGGAGUACGGUCGCAAGACUGAAACUCAAAGGAAUUGACGGGACCCCGCACAAGUAGCGGAGCAUGUGGUUUAAUUCGAAGCAACGCG
rnacentral:rRNA from 1 species